rnacentral:lncRNA from 10 species
CGAAUGCUAUCACAGGGUGUGAUAUUAGGAGUGUGAUAUUAGGAGUAAGCUCUUCCUAGGAUAACCCAUGUGAUAUUAGGAGUAACCCCUUCCUAGGAUAUUACGAAUAACAUCACAGGGUGUACACCCCUGUGACUUUAAAAGUAACACCCCCCCUAGAAUAUUACAAUAAUAUAACAGGGUGUACAACCCCUGUGACAUUACGGUAACAUCUCCCUAGGAUAUUUCGAAUGAUGUCACUGGGGGCACACCC